UUCAUUUAAAGAGUGCGUAACAGCUCACUAGUCGAGCGAUCCCGCGUGGAUAAUACACGGGCAUCAAACUGUCAACCGAAGCCGUGGGGUUAGUUAAUGACUGACCGGUAGGAGAGCAUUCCUGCCAGCUUUGAAGGUCACCCGCGAGAGUGACUGGAGCGGCAUGAAAAGCAAAUGUAGGCAUAAGUAACGAUAAUGGGGGCGAGAACCCCCCACGCCGCAAGACCAAGGAUUCCCCGGCAAUGUCAAUCAGCCGGGGGUCAGCCGGCCUCUAAGGCUCACCCGAAGGGGGAUGCCGACGAGAAACGGGUUAACAUUCCCGUGCUUCUCGUCACCGUGACGCGGUGACGGGGUGAUGAAUGGACCGCGCGCUGACGGAAUAGCGCGUUGAAGGCCGUACCCUGUGACGGUGGUAGUCAAGCACGCCACCGGAGGCGAAAGUCGAUAGUACCUCGAGGCCUCGGCCGAGGGGAUAGCGUCCAGGCAAUUUACCCCCUAGAAAACCCGCUAAACUUCAAGUGACGAGGAACCGUACUGUAAACGGACACACGUGGUCGGGUAGAACAUACCAAGGCGCUCGAGUGAUUCAUGGUCAAGGAACUAGGCAAAAUAGUCCUGUAACUUCGGGAAAAAGGACGCUCUAGUGAUAGAGCCGCAGAGUAAUGGCCCAGGCGACUGUUUACCAAAAACACAUGGCUAUGCCAAAUCGAAAGAUGACGUAUAUGGCCUGACACCUGCCCGGUGCCGGAAGGUUAAGAGGAGAGCUCAUCGGAAACGAGAAGGUUUGAAUUGAAGCCCCGGUAAACGGCGGCCGUAACUAUAACGGUCCUAAGGUAGCGAAAUUCCUUGUCGGGUAAGUUCCGACCUGCACGAAUGGUGUAACGAUCUGGGCACUGUCUCGACCAUGAGCUCGGUGAAAUUGUAGUUCCGGUGAAGAUGCCGGGUACCCGCGACGGGACGGAAAGACCCCGUGAACCUUUACUGCAGCUUCGCGUUGUUCCCGGGCACGGGACGUGUAGGAUAGGUCGGAGGCUACGAGUCGGUUUCGCCAGGAAUCGAGGAGCCAUCGUUGAAAUACGACCCUUCUCUUGUCUGGGAUCUAACCCUUUGUAUAGGGGACACCGCGUGGUGGGUAGUUUGACUGGGGUGGUCGCCUCCAAAAGCGUAACGGAGGCUUCCAAAGGUACCCUCGGGUUGGUUGGUAAUCAACCGUAGAGUGCAAUGGCACAAGGGUGCUUGACCGGGAGACCAACGAGUCGAUCGGGUGCGAAAGCAGGGCAUAGUGAUCCGGUGAUCCCGCGUGGAAGGGUCAUCGCUCAAAGGAUAAAAGGUACUCCGGGGAUAACAGGCU
rnacentral:rRNA from 1 species